CUACGGGAGGCUGCAGCUAGGAAUCUUGGGAAUGGGCGAAAGCCUGACCCAGCAACGCCGCGUGGGCGAUGAAGGCCUUAGGGUCGUAAAGCCCUUUUGCAGGGGAAGAUGAUGACGGUACCUUGCGAAUAAGCCACGGCUAACUACGUGCCAGCAGCCGCGGUAAUACGUAGGUGGCAAGCGUUGUCCGGAUUUACUGGGCGUAAAGGGCGUGCAGGCGGUUCGUUAAGUCCAGGGUGAAAGCUCCCGGCUCAACUGGGAGAGGUCCUUGGAUACUGGCGGACUUGAGGGGGGUAGAGGAGAGCGGAAUUCUCGGUGUAGUGGUGAUAUGCGUAGAUAUCGAGAGGAACACCAGUGGCGAAGGCGGCUCUCUGGGCCCUACCUGACGCUGAGACGCGAAAGCGUGGGGAGCGAACCGGAUUAGAUACCCCAGUAGUC
rnacentral:rRNA from 1 species